rnacentral:rRNA from 1 species
GACGAACGCUGGCGGCGUGCCUAAUACAUGCAAGUAGAACGCUGAAGAGAGGAGCUUGCUCUUCUUGGAUGAGUUGCGCACGGGUGAGUAACGCGUAGGUAACCUGCCUUGUAGCGGGGGAUAACUAUUGGAAACGAUAGCUAAUACCGCAUAACAAUGGAUGACACAUGUCAUUUAUUUGAAAGGGGCAAUUGCUCCACUACAAGAUGGACCUGCGUUGUAUUAGCUAGUAGGUGAGGUAACGGCUCACCUAGGCGACGAUACAUAGCCGACCUGAGAGGGUGAUCGGCCACACUGGGACUGAGACACGGCCCAGACUCCUACGGGAGGCAGCAGUAGGGAAUCUUCGGCAAUGGGGGCAAACCUGACCGAGCAACGCCGCGUGAGUGAAGAAGGUUUUCGGAUCGUAAAGCUCUGUUGUAAGUCAAGAACGAGUGUGAGAGUGGAAAGUUGACACUGUGACGGUAGCUUACCAGAAAGGGACGGCUAACUACGUG